GCAGGCUGAUUAUGUAUCUCGACGUAUCACUUCUAACUGUGUAACGCAAAGCUAAAUUGAACACUAGAGUGUUUUUGCAAUUCCGAUUAUGUAAGACAAAAGACAGCCACAAUGCCUAGUGAUAUCGUUCUAGGCGCAAAAUUUUAUCGACAUUAUGCGACUAAAUAAAAUACACCCUUUCCCGGUACUACUUACUACGGGUGCGGCAUACUUUUGCACAUAUACGCAUUAUACUUGAUUUUGCUGUUUGUCUGUGGUGAAGUGAAGUGCCAUAGUUUCUUUGUUGGUAAACAAAGCCGUAUUAAAAUAUUAAUAAAAAAAUUGGUUUCGUUGGAUCAAAGUACUUGCUACUGCUAGUUUUUUGUUUUCAAUAGAAGUAAUUAAUUAAUCAUUUUAUCGUAUACAUUUUUAUUAGUGUUAAUAGUUAAUUUAUCAAAGUAAACGGCCACUUUUACAUAAAACAUUAUCUACACGAAAGUUCUUCAAAGUUUUCUCGUCUGCCUAUGAUUAAUUUAAUGGUCGUUGUGAUAAUAUGUAAAGUAUAUUGUAUAGUGUUUUGUUUAUUAAAGUUCAUCGCUUGCAACUAAAGAUGUCCGGGAAACUCAAUGAUCGCCUUGGCUUGGAUCAAACUUGGCGAUGGGUUGUUUUGGAGGGCCUUUGGAAAGUCAGGCUACUAAAUAAAUCUUCCGUGUUCGCGUCUGCCAGUGGCGUUGUAUCAACAUGAAGAUGUGGGCUCUAAACUUUGAGUGCCAGGGACUGACUAUGGAAGUCUCCAUGUCGCUGGUCACCAUUGAGGUGCAAAACACCUUGAAAAAAUUGGUGAUUCUGAAUCCUUCAUCUCUAUGAACGAUUCAUGAAGAAAGAAUUAAACAAACAUUUAAUGAACAGAUUUUUUAUAAGAUAAUAUCAAUAAUGACAUUGCAUAUGAGAGAAAAUUGUCAAAUAUAAUUUCAUUUUAAUUUAAUAUAGUUAAUUAUGACAUCACUGUAUAUAAAGAAUAUGAUUAUUAUCAUUUGGUUAAUUUCAGUAUUACAUAGUAUUAGAUAAAAAUUUUAUUGUAAAAUUGCACAUCAAAAUAUGUUUUAUUAUCUAUUAUUAGGAGGAAAUAUUAUUUAACUAUUAUUAUUAUCCCUAAUAGCCCAGUGAAUGUGACCUCUGCCUCCAAUUCCGGAGGGUGUGGGUUCGAACCCGUUCCGGGGCACGCACCUCUAACUUUUCAGUUGUGUGCAUUUUAAGAAACUAAAUAUCACGUGUCUCAAACAGUGAAGGAAAACAUCGUGAGGAAACCUGCAUACCAGAGAAUUCUCUUAAUUCUCUGCAUAUGUGAUGUCUGCCAAUGUAAUCCAAAUAUGCUGGCCCAUAUUCGGCUCCUGUCAGAAUGAGAGGGGUUAGGCAUUGGCCUUCCCUUACCUUAUCAGCCGAUAGACGUCCACUGCUGGACAUAGGCCUCUUACAUGGACCUCCAAGCACAACGACCUUGAGCCGCGAACAUCCAACCAACCGACCAACCACGCUUUCCAGUGCGGGGUCUCCCGAGUGCGGGUAGGCACUAACCCCUCUUACUGGGGGAGACUCGAGCUCAGCAGUGAGCCGAAUAUGUGUUUAUAAUGAUGAUGAUGAUGAUGAUGUUGAUGAUGAUGAUGGAUGAUGAUGAUUAUUUAAGUAAUUGUAAAAGAAAAAAUUGAAUACUACAUUAGUUGUUUAUCUAUACAAUUCAAUAAUUUUAAGAACAAAACAUGUACCUACCACAUUGUAGGAAAUAAAUAAACAAUGAUUUGAUUAAAAACAAUGUUGUUUAAUGUUAAGCAGGUAGGGCCAGGUAGUUCUAUAUUUGUGUAACAUCUAUUACUUAAAAAUAAAAAAUAUAUUUACUUGUG